UAAAAACAGAAUACUGUCUCAAAAACUA
rnacentral:piRNA from 1 species